AGAAAGAAGUAGGAGGGCUUCAGGGAUUCAGCGGAGGAGACUGAAAGCCUGAGAGACGAUGCCUCUGAGAAGGUUACAGGCAAGCAGCAGGCUCUCCCACUUAGACAAGUGGAGGGGGAUAUAAGCAAACAAAGUUGGGGUGAUGGGGGGAAGGAGGCUUCUGGUCCUCUCAGUGUUUGUGUGGAAAGGUCACUCUCACUGCAGCCCAAUGACGUGCUGUGCAGGCCAAUGGGAGUCCAGGCUGUCUUUCCUGUGAAGACCCAGCACUUUGCUCAUUCAUGGAACCUGCCAGUCUCUUUGGCAAUGUGUUUUAUUGAAACCCUAUGCUUUUCUUUGAAUUUGGUAGUAGCUAUGGCCCCCUUGACUCUUGUUACUGUCUGUGGUCCUAACACGCGGAUACAAUACAUCUCUCAGCUCUGUGCUGAUCAGGCGUUUGCCAGUUCUGUCUUGGCAGGAGAGUCUAGGUUCCUGGGAUGACCGGUCGGAGCCUCUCUGAUUACAGCGAUGAUAGUUGCUCUGGGUGGGCAGGGAGUGUACAGCAGGAUGCCGUAGCCCGUGCUUAGCCGCAGCCCCAUCGGAGAGUCCUCUCAGUCUGCUAUGGUAGAGAUCAGAUUUUCUUUUCCAGACCUUGGGAGAAAGCGCUUUCACCUCCUCACCACAGACACUCUCGACUGUGGACUCAGGACACUAAGCCAGAAAGGUGACGAUUUCCUUCUUGAACCCGGCCUGCAUCAGCAGCUCAGACCCAGGGCUCCGGGUCCUUUGCUCUAUGUCCAGUGCUCUUUUUGCUCCCUCACACACUUAGCGAUGGCAGUGUUCUUAGUAUACUCAAAGAGCUUUGUAAUGAAUUAGAGCAGCCAUUCCCAACCUUCCUAGUGCUGCGGUCCUUUAAUACAGUUUCUUAAGUUGUGGCGAACCAUCCCCCCCACCCCCAACCAUAACAUUAUUCUUGCUGCUGCUGUUAUGAAUCGUAAUGAAACAUUUGAUCUGCAGUACAUCUGAUAUGUGAUUCCCGAGAAAGGGCCAUCAUAUUCCAAGGGAUCGGGACCCACAGCGUGAGAAGCCCUGAACUAGAGAUCCGCCUAAACUGAGAAACAACCUAGCACCUAUCCCAGCCCAUCAAUGUUGUAUAUGGCAACAGAUUCAAAAGCCCAGACUAAAACAUACUCACCAUCCAUGUUACCAGCUCUCACCAUGGGGCAGCAAUGUGGAUUUAGUAAGCAUAGCCCACGGGCACUCAUUUUGAAGACACUAGGAGAACUUCAAAGCCAGGUUUGUUCUUCUGCCUCUGGUGACAUUUUUAAAAUUUCAGCACUGUUUUUUUUUUUAAUUGAUUCUUUGUGAAUUUCAUAUCAUGCACCUCAGUCCUGCACAUCUCCUGUCCCCUCCCUCCCUCCAACCUCCACCCUUCCCCAACAAAGAAAAAUAAGUCCCCACUAUGGAAGCUGUAGUGUGCCAUCGUGUGUCCUUUUGUCCACACUUCUUUGCUUGCAAGUGCUCAUUGCAUUGACUUUGUUGGUCUGGUACGAGUCAGGCCUCUGGCUUCUGCUAUGCUAACGAUGCUAGAACCUUACUGAGACUCCUCUAGGGUAGACUGUUGUCACCCCGUGUGUCAUGGAGACCCUGUAGUUUUGGAUCUGCAGGACUGGCUUCUUCACGUACUCCAGCAGUUCAUUGAUGGGAUAGACGUGGGGUGGGCUAACUCAAAGCCCUGGAUCUGGGCCUGAGAGGUGUCUGAGCUGCUCAGCCCACCAGCUCUCCAGUUCUUGUGGCCUUUGGAUUGGCUCGCCAGCAACCCCCUCUCCCAGGGCUAGCUCUCCUGGCUGACCAGGUCGGUCCUUAUAUUUGCUUUAGGAACCUGACAAGACUGACUAGCCAUCUCUAGCAUUCAGAUAGGUGGAACUUCAUUGUGCUGAAGUUAUGUUUGAGCACCCUCUGCUGGACAAAUCAGAUGCUCUAUGACUACCAACAAUGUACCAGUGGUAUUCGUCUCUUGCAGAUCUGGAAGAAAAUGAAAUUUAGGAGAAGGCAGCAGCUGGCAUCAAUGGUGUGGUGAGGAGAGAAUCAAGUUUCCUUCUCCAGUUCAAACAGACGAAAGUGAAGCGACAUAGGCUCAAGGACAGGGUCACUGGGCUAGCGCCACACCAUGGAGCCAAACCCCGAGCCUUCUAAAUUGUGAGCUGGGCAUGGUGGUUCACCCCAGGAAUCGCAGCACUGAGGGAUGAAGGCGAGAGAGUCACUGUGGGUGUGACAUCAGUCUGGCCUGAAGUCUGAGACUGUUUUUUUAAAAAGAAAACAUUUUUUUAUGUCAUAUAUUUAAUUAUA
rnacentral:lncRNA from 1 species